rnacentral:piRNA from 1 species
UUAACAGAAAACACAACUGAGAAGGGCUA